rnacentral:lncRNA from 1 species
GAUUUUUCUACGGUCGAAAUUCUCAUUUAAAGGCAACUAAUAAAUGGUUCUAGAGCAACUUUAUACCGGCGAUAUUGCUUUUAAUUAUGUUGUUAUUUGUUUGGAGAACCCGAAAAACAUUACCCCGAGAUCAUGUAACAGGAGGCGGUCAUGUUUGAUAGCUGAAUAGAGAUGAAAGAAAACAAAAAGAGGAUAAAUGUUUUUCCAAGGACCCUCACCACCUGUCGAGGAUUCUCGUAUGUAAUAGCACUGUGCACACACACAAGUAUAUAUCAGUGUGUGUGUGUGUGGCACCCCUCCACCACCCACUUUUAACUCCCCGCUUCGGGGCCGGAAGUGGGAGGUUUCGAUCGAAUUCACGACAGACACGCCGAAACAAAAAAAAGAAUUGCUCACGCUUCGAUGCUCACAUCUAGCGGCCGUAAUAUUGACUUUAUGAUUGAAACUGUUUCCAUUGCCAUUUGGCUCUUGUUAUUGUUAACAGUUGGGUUCACUUUUCACUUGUCAUCGACAACACAUUUCGCCACGAAACAGAUAAGGAAUUUCUCGGUUUUGCUGAUAGAGAAUGACAUGACCAGGAACCAGGAGCUUCCAGCAUCGUAAAUUUUAACAGCACGAUGCGAUAAAAGGUGUAUCGUAUCCCUACAGGCUCAAGAAAAGCUGAAUACUGAAUAUCACUGAAUCUCAUCUUCUGUUGAAGACGACACAUCAUACCUGGUGAAGUUGAUGACAUUGAUUCCGAAAUCUGCCUGUCGCCAGCUCUUUCUGAUUCCUGUCCUGUUGCUGAAGAUGGUCCCAAUUCAUGUCGGAAAGUGGCGUUGGAUAGUUUUCAUUUUUUCAAUCCGAAGUUUCUAAGUUGUCGGACGACCUGUACUGCCCAGUCGACAAAACCUAGACAACGCCCAGGAACAUGGCAUCAGACAAGGCGAAGAAGACCUCCGGGAAGGAACGCGGAAGGCAAUUAGCCAAGUACAAGUAGCCUACCAUCAAUUCUUUGAUUAAAAAUCGUCGUUCUGCUGAAUGCUCCACCCUAUUAAUACAGGUCACUAACCACAGUGUAAACUUGUUUUUUCAAUCAUGUUUCUACAAUAAGCUAUGGGAACAUAAUCAAGGCCAUUGGGUAAUCUUCAUCAGGAAACUUAAAGAAGUCACAUGAAAAGAUGCAGGGCACAUACCAACAUGUGUUGUAUUUUUCUGAAUGUUUUACUCAAGCAAUUCAACAUGACUAACUGUUUGAUGCCAAAGUUAGUUGGAACUCUCACAGAUAAUCUUUGCUGCUGCCUUACAGCCACAGGCAGGAAAUGAUUCUUUUCUUCACAAAAUUGGAAAGCUGCUGCAGUAAUCUAGUGUCCAUCACGCCAUCCCCACUUGAUUCAUUUCGUGUCAGCUAGUGAAAGGCGUCACGAAUUCAAAUUUGGCUGCUGCGUGCUGUCUGCAAGCAAGCAAUCCAAUUGGCGGUCGCUAGGUGGCGCGAGUGUCUUCAGGGACCAAAUUCUGCCAUUUUGAUCCAUGACACAGCAGAAGUGGGAUGCCGGUGUGAAGUUUCGCAUGAUGAAAAUGUAAAGUUCAAUACCAAUUUGUCAAAUCAUCUAACUCGGACUUGAGUGCCUGUUCAUUUUGCCGAAAUGUCGUGCCUCGUGUGUCUUGCUGCCUGUACCUGUACGUCUCGUGUUCUCGUCCCAUGCAAAAGCAAAAGUCCGCUGUUGGUUACCUUGUUGCAGCCUGAUGGUGUAAGAUGUGAUGAAGACUAAUUGAACUGUGGUUCCAGUGUUAUUCAGAAGUAGCUGGCGGUCUCCUGGAGUAGCCUGAAGUAGCCUGAAGUAGCCUGAAGUUGCCAGUGGUAUCCGGGUUGCUGACUUUAAAUAUUUUUCUCUGUUCUCAUUUGUGUAUUUUGCCCUGCCAGUCAUCCCGUGUUGCUGACUUGAAAUAUUUUUAUCCAUUUUUAUUUAUGGUUUUGCUCUGCCAGUGAGCAAAAUGGUUGAAUUGGUUUCAUCUGUUGUCUUUUUGUUUUACUUGGGCAGUAUACGAUUGUGGCAAACUGAUUCUAUGUCAGUUUUGAUACAGUCGACAACUGCUAGAUUAAAUUCCGGCUUUCUGCACCAACAAAAUAAUAACGGCACAUGUUAU